CACCGCGGUUAUACGAGUUGGCCCAAGUUGAUAGACAACGGCGUAAAGAGUGGUUAAGGAAAACAAAAACUAAAGCCGAACAUCUUCAAAGCUGUCAUACGCUCCCGAAAAUAUGAAGCCCAACCACGAAAGUGACUUUAUUCCACCUGAACCCACGAAAGCUAAGAAA
rnacentral:rRNA from 1 species